rnacentral:misc_RNA from 1 species
GAAUAAUCUGCAUGAAGCCCAACAGCAACCAGCUGUUUGAUUUCACCCUCAAAUGUUGUAAAAAUAGAUUCUGAUCUGGCCACAGGUUGAUUUGAUAUGUUAUAAGUAGCACGGCGGUUUUCAUCAAGCAUGGAUGACUUCUUUGCAAAUUUCGAUAGGAAACCCUUCCCUGAUGAUAGUUCUUCUGCUUUCUCCAUAGUAUUAUCAACCAGGGAAGAGGUACCCUCUAUAGGAACAUCAAUGUUACUAGGUCUGUC